AGUGAACGCUGGCGGUAGGCCUAACACAUGCAAGUCGAACGGCAGCACAGUAAGAGCUUGCUCUUACGGGUGGCGAGUGGCGGACGGGUGAGGAAUACAUCGGAAUCUACUUUUUCGUGGGGGAUAACGUAGGGAAACUUACGCUAAUACCGCAUACGACCUACGGGUGAAAGCAGGGGAUCUUCGGACCUUGCGCGAUUGAAUGAGCCGAUGUCGGAUUAGCUAGUUGGCGGGGUAAAGGCCCACCAAGGCGACGAUCCGUAGCUGGUCUGAGAGGAUGAUCAGCCACACUGGAACUGAGACACGGUCCAGACUCCUACGGGAGGCAGCAGUGGGGAAUAUUGGACAAUGGGCGCAAGCCUGAUCCAGCCAUACCGCGUGGGUGAAGAAGGCCUUCGGGUUGUAAAGCCCAUUUGUUGGGAAAGAAAAGCAGCAGGCUAAUACCCCGCUGUUCUGACGGUACCCAAAGAAUAAGCACCGGCUAACUUCGUG
rnacentral:rRNA from 1 species